AUGGCUUCAAACUCUACAAACAAGUCACUUCUUAACCCCGAAGUUAUUCCUAAACAUCCAAUUUGGGGAGUGGGGUCACUCCAACCAAAUACUAUUUUUUAUUUAUAAUAAUCCACUAUCCUUCUUAUCCUAUCUACUCCAACCAAACACUAUUUUAUCUAUAUCUGGACUAAACUCAAUUUUCAACCAAACACAAAAUUACUCUAAUCUCAUCUUAAUCCUGAACUUAACUCUAUCCCUGGAAUAAUAAGUUUUACUUAACCCCGAACCAAACUAUGGCUAAAAGUAUUGAGAAGCCUUAAAAGCAUAUUUUUAUAUUUUUCUCUCAACUUCGUUUUGCAUAUUAACGUUAAAUGAACCUUAUACCAGAUCCUAAGUAUUUUAUGUG
rnacentral:lncRNA from 1 species